AGGCAUUAAAAUAGAUUAAUCUAUCGAAACGUGCUUUGGAACGCGUCGGUGCGACGAGCGUUUGAUUCAGUUUGAUUGCGAUUUUUCUAGAAAGUAUGAAUAACUUUGAGCGACAAUACUAUGAAACAAGUUGGUUUGCUCCUAGUAAUACAGGAGAAAAUAGUGAAAAUGGUUAAAUGCAUAACAACAUGAACUGGAAUGAAAAAUAACUGCAAUCAUGAUUCUAAAAUUGAUCAGAAAGAAAAUAACUCAGAAAUAUGACUUGAAAUUUAAAGUAGUACAGAACUGAAAAGUGGUUGAAUAAGUUUAUGAAUGUAAUCAAUUUCGAUGAUCCGCUAUAUGCAAAAAAGAACAUUUAUAUGUACUCCCGUUUUGAAAUCAAAUAUUUUACAGUUAUGCAAAAAAUGCAGCAUACAACGGAAAACAUUUACAAUGAAAAGUUGCGCUAAAAAAAAUAAGAUGCAAAGUGAUUGUAAUCAUCUUUGAGGAAUUGAAUUCUGUUUGGUGAAAGAUUUGUGGUACAUUCAAACAGUACUAAAAGGUUUAAUAAACUUUAUUGGACUAGAUGCUGUUACGUGAUUAAAAUAUAAUACGAAAUUGUGCUAAUGCAAACAAGUUUAAACAGAUGUUUAAAAAGUAUAUAUGUAAAUGAAACUUAAAAUAUUUAUCAUACUUCAACAAUGUAUCUUCCACAGAAUAUUUACAUGCUAAUAAAAAUAU